rnacentral:rRNA from 1 species
AACGGGUGAGUAACACGUGGGUGACCUACCUUCGAAUGGGGGAUAACGUCCCGAAAGGGACGCUAAUACCGCAUAAUAUCCCGCUCUUGAAUGGGUGGAGAUCAAAGCUGGGGAUCGUAAGACCUGGCGUUUGAAGAGGGACCUGCGCCCGAUUAGCUAGUUGGUGAGGUAAUGGCUCACCAAGGCAAUGACAGGUAGCGGGUUUGAGAGGAUGAUCCGCCACACUGGUACUGAGACACGGACCAGACUCC